rnacentral:misc_RNA from 1 species
GAUGAAGAACGCAGCGAAAUGCGAUAAGUAAUGCGAAUUGCAGAAUUUCCGUGAGUCAUCGAAUCUUUGAUCGCACAUUGCGCCCACUGGUAUUCCGGUGGGCAUGCCUGUUCGAGCGUCAUUAUCCUCCCUCAAACCCCGGGUUUGGUGUUGGACCCAAGUUGUGUGAACAACUGGUCUCAAAGACAAUGACGGCGUCCGUGGGACCCUCGGUGCAACGAGCUUUUAGGAGCACGCAUCGAGUUGCAAGGACCUUCCGGGCCGGUCUCCUUUACCAUUUUACAAGGUUGACCUCGGAUCAGGUAGGAAUACCCGCUGAACUUAAGCAUAUCAAUAAGCGGAGGA